GACGAACGCUGGCGGCGUGCUUAACACAUGCAAGUCGAACGAAGUGGCGAACGGGUGAGUAACGCGUAAUCAACCUGCCCUUCAGAGGGGGACAACAGCUGGCAACGACUGCUAAUACCGCAUACUGAAGGAGGGGAUUGCGUCUGGUUGGCUAGUUGGAGGGGGAACGGCCCACCAAGGGGAUGGACAGUAGCCGGUCCGGGGGGGAGGACGGCCCCAAUUGGACUGGGGAACGGCCCAGACUCCUACGGGAGGCAGCAGUGGGGAAUCUUCCGCAAUGGACGAAAGUCUGACGGAGCAAAGCCGCGGGAGUGAUGACGGCCUUCGGGUUGUAAAGCUCUGUUAAUCGGGACGCGGUACCGGAAUAGAAAGCCACGGCUAACUACGUGCCAGCAGCCGCGGUAAUAC
rnacentral:rRNA from 1 species